UACGUAGGGGGCAAGCGUUAUCCGGAUUUACUGGGUGUAAAGGGAGCGUAGACGGUUUGGCAAGUCUGAAGUGAAAGCCCAGGGCUUAACCCUGGGACUGCUUUGGAAACUGUUAAACUAGAGUGCAGGAGAGGUAAGUGGAAUUCCUAGUGUAGCGGUGAAAUGCGUAGAUAUUAGGAGGAACACCAGUGGCGAAGGCGGCUUACUGGACUGUAACUGACGUUGAGGCUCGAAAGCGUGGGGAGCAAAC
rnacentral:rRNA from 1 species